rnacentral:lncRNA from 1 species
AAAUCUUGAUUAUUGUUCUUUUGCCGUAAAAAGUUAAGAGCAUUCACUUAGGGUGAGUAAGAAAUAAGUUGGGGAGAAUCGGUAAGUACCACAACUCUUGAAAAAAAUAAAAGAAAAACCGAGCAAGCAUUGAAAAUAAAAAUAUAGAAAAGAAACAUCUGUUUUGUAAAUAUGAUGUGAAAGAAAAGAACAAAAAUAGAAAGAAUGAAAAUGAAUGCUUGCUUGGAAGAAAAAUAGUGAAAAAUAAA